CCGAUAAGAAGCUAUUUUCAAUAAAUCUUCAGCUCACAAAAAGUAUAUCAUAAACCACUGCUGCGCUUUGUGAAAUCAAAUACGAGUAAAUAGCUACAGCCUUUGUUCCCCUGGGGUUUCGAGUUGUCACUUUGCUAUUAGGAAAACGACCCUACAUAAUUAAGACAAGACUGAUGUAGAAACUCCAGAAGCAUCUUUUCAAUUUAAUAGAUUCUAAAAAUAACGGCUAUGCUUUUCCAAUAAUUUUGUUUGUUUCUCUUUAGGGAAAGGGGAAAGUAACAAUUGUUUUCCCGAAAAAGAGUAUGAAGUAAAACGUACAAUAAUAAUUGAAGGAAGUAACAAGUAUCGUUUGUUGUGUUUUGGAGCUGAACAACAUGGAGGACAGAGAAGAGAUAUCAUAUGUGAACCAGCAAGAAGCCAUAGAAAUUGAUCGGAUGUUGAUGGGUCCUCUUGCUUUUACUGUGGAUCAGCUCAUGGAAUUGGCUGGCUUGAGUGUUGCCUCUGCAAUUGGAGAGGUCUAUAGUUCAAGUGAAUAUACUCGCGUGCUUGUUAUAUGUGGUCCUGGUAACAAUGGUGGGGAUGGUCUUGUAGCUGCUCGACACUUGCAUCACUUUGGUUAUAAGCCAUCCAUUUGCUAUCCAAAACGGACUACUAAACCUCCUUUUGCUGGUUUGAUUAGCCAGCUUGAGUCACUGUCAGUUCCAUUCUUGCCAGUGGAGGAUCUACCCAUGCAGCUUUCAAGUGACUUUGAAAUAAUAGUAGAUGCUAUUUUUGGAUUCUCAUUCCAUGGGAACCCAAGGCCACCGUUUGAUAGUCUCAUUAGAAGGUUGGUCUCCAUGAGAAAGCAGCAGCGCGCACAUGAGAAAGCAGCUGUCAUUAUAUCCGUAGACAUACCUUCCGGGUGGCAUGUGGAAGAGGGAGACGUUUGUGGUGAAGGCAUUGAACCUGAUAUGCUGGUUUCUUUGACUGCUCCAAAAUUGUGUGCCAAAAUGUUUUGUGGACCACAUCAUUUUUUGGGUGGAAGAUUUGUUCCACAAUCCGUCAUAGACAAAUUCAAGCUAAAACUUCCAUCAUAUCCCGGCACUUCCAUGUGUGUUAGAAUUGGAAAUCUUCCACAACCCAAUUUAUCAGCACCGAAAGGAAUAUUUGCAGCUUCUUUAUCUCUUGAGGUGGAGGAAGAUCCUAUUGAUCAGUUUCAAAAGUGGCUUGGUGAUGCAUUGGCAGCUGGCGUCAAAGAACCCCAUUAUAUGGUCAUGUCAACAGCUGGUAAAGAUGCAAAACCUUCAUCGCGGAUGAUAUCAUUGGAAGGAGUAAACAAAGAUGGUUUUGUCUGGCAUACCAACUAUGGGAGUCGAAAGGCUCGUGAAAUUUCUGAAAAUCCUCAUGCAUCACUUCUCUUUUACUGGUGUUCUUUGAAUUGCCAGAUAAGAGUGGAGGGAUUUGUGGAGCAAGUUUCUGACGAGGAAUCUGAUCAAUACUUCUCUAGUCUUCCUCGAGAUGCCCAGAUUAGACCAAUAGUUAGCAAGCAGUUAGUUUUCAAUCUAUUCUGCAAGUUCAGAGCACAUCGAUUAAUGGACGAGAGGUUCUCUAUCAACAGUACAAAGAAUUAGAGGACGAGUACCAUGAAAGAUUCAGGUGAACCCAAAAGCAAUCCUUUUUUGCCUAACAUGCAGGACUUCAAUACCAAGACCCAAACACUGGGGAGGUUACAGGCUUAUUCCAGAGUUUUUUGAGUUUUGGCAGGGAGAGGAAUCUCAAGUGCAUCUCAAAUUGCGGUACUAUGUGGAGGAGAUCGAUGGAAGAAAAGUAUGGAGAGUUGAUAAAUUGGUCCCACUAUUAGCCGAAUCAACAUCUUCAUUAUGACUUACCAUAUUGAACCUUAGCAAAAGUUGCAGGCCAUGACAGCAGCUCUCAAUUAGAUCUUCCCUUUUUAUGUGUCCCUUCUGAUUACCUUUUCUUGGGUCAGGAUGUUGCCCUUAGGAGGUGAUAUUUCUGUAUAUAUGUGUAUGCCAAAAAGUUAACUUACAUGUUAUCUCCUUAUAUAUAUCUCCUUGUUGAUUUGCA